UGCCUUUUAUUUCCACGUCACGUGAUUUCCGGUCUCUCUCUUCGCGAAAAAACCAUGACUCGGCAGCGCAGCCUCUUGCUCAAGCGUGUGAGAUGCAAAGUCUCCUGCAAAAAACGAGCAGCAGACCUGGGAUGAGACGACAUACCCUUUAAGGAUGGCUUUGUAGCCUAUGGUGAGUCCGUUAUUGUCAUCCCCCAUUGGUAACUGAUGCACAUGCAAGCGGAUGAUGCACACGAAGCAGUGGAUACCACAUAUCUGGACGUUCAGUUUCACAUGUGGCCUGAUCUGAGAGUGGAGACUGGUGCCUUCCUGUGGAUGUGACUGAAACACUAAAAGAAACGUGAUUGCAAUAGAGUUUAAAUUGAAUAAAAGAACCUACAUAAUGAUA